rnacentral:tRNA from 1 species
AAAAAAGUAUGCAAGAACUGCUAACUCAUGCUCCCGUGUAUAAAAACACGGCUUUUUUUC